rnacentral:sRNA from 1 species
UCCCAUUUUUUCUUCUUCUUCUCCCUCUACCUCUUCUUU